rnacentral:pre_miRNA from 1 species
CUAUGAUGAUAAUGAUGAUGAUGAUGAUGAUGAUGAUGAUGAUCAUCAUCAUCAUCAUCAUCAUCAUCCUCAUCAUCAUCAUCAUCAUCAUCAUCA